GGAACAUGCCUUGACUUGUUGCGUUGCCUGAGUGAAGCACACAGAGAGAGAGAAGAGGCUGGUGGUCAACAGUUUGUGUUGGGAGAACCAUGCUGCAACCCGUGGACAGACUGGUGCUGGAGAUGAGGGUGGAUGGAGGAGUUGUGCUGCUGCUGCUGCUCACUGAGCUUCCCGCCGGUUGGCAAAAGCACCACACCACCCUCAGGGGGGAGGCUUUUUAGCGCGAGGCCUUCCAACAACCAACACCACCAAAGCUGGGCAUGAAAAAAAAAAAAAAAAGCGCCAGAGUCCGUGGUGCCAGACUCGCAGGUGGAAAUGUGCAGCAAAGACCAACCGGGAUCCCGCCGGAGGGAGAAACGGAUGGUCGGACGCGGCUGCUGUGGGUGUUUCUCUGGCAGUGUCUUAGCUGGUUGUUGUGAGGAGUGAGAACGAAGCAAUCAGCAAGUAUACUGCCGCAGAAAUUCUUCGCAAUAAGAGGCCCUGGGAUCACAACCGCCACAAGGGUGGGGGAAAACAAAAAUCAAGAGGGAGGAAAGAUGCAUAUUCGCAAUGCAGCAAACACGGAUCCCGCCACUGCUGUAAGUUUUUUAACUGAUACAGAUUUUAAUUGAGGACAGAUCGACUGCAAGCAUGGCCUUUUCGUUUAACAGCCUCGACAGUAUUUACAAUCGGAGCAAAGCAUCAAACUUCUACGCUCUUGUGUUGCACUUUUUAUGAUCCUCUGCUGCCAUCUUGUGACUGAAAGCAAACCUCCCAGCAUGCCUUUGUUCAUCCAACACUGCACCAAUUUGUAAAGCCUACGUUGUAUUUUUUUUUCUUUUUGCUUUGUUUUCAUUGAGACAGUGUUUAAUCCCUUUCAUUCAGGAAAUAUGGCUCGGCUUACUAUGACCUGAGAUCCCCCCCCCCUUUUUUUUUUUAAUGUUGCAUGUAUUUUUUUUUUUUGUCACCGUAUUUAAUUUUGCUUCAAGAAUUUUCCGAUCGAUUCCUAAUUUAUCUGUCACAGAUCAGUGAUUUCUUCAUGUCAGAGUUUAUAACUGUAAAGAAAAAGGGGAGUAAAUAAAAGUUGCAUAAAGACGGAUUUAUCA